CACACACACACAACAUAUUGAAGCAUAAAACGAGACACUGUGACAUGGUGCCUCUGUCAGACUCCUCCCCCCUUCCUCCUCUGCUCCAUUCCUGACGGUGACCAGCUGACUUCACUCAUCUCAUCAAGCCACUUCUACUUAAGGAGAUCCACUGCCUCUCUUCUACGCCAGUUCGUUGUUCCUCAACGGAUUACACAUCCACGGGUGCUCACCUGGUCACCGAAGUUUUCCCUGGUUCCACGUCCCGCCGUCCGCAACUGCCUUGCUGUUCUGGAAACGUCCUGCCGAAACCCUCCGGCCACGCCGCACCUUCAAGCCAAGGACUCUAGCUCAUUCCUCCAUAUUUCGAACUUUCAAGCUAUAUUCCUUACCAAUUAUAAAAUACCUCUCUCUUA